CGUGAGGCAUGCUGGAGGUAUCAGAAGUGCGAAUGCUGACAUAAGUAACGAUAAAGCGGGUGAAAAGCCCGCUCGCCGGAAGACCAAGGGUUCCUGUCCAACGUUAAUCGGGGCAGGGUGAGUCGACCCCUAAGGCGAGGCCGAAAGGCGUAGUCGAUGGGAAACGGGUUAAUAUUCCCGUACUUGGUGUUACUGCGAAGGGGGGACGGAGAAGGCUAUGUUGGCCGGGCGACGGUUGUCCCGGUUUAAGCGUGUAGGUGUGUGUUCCAGGUAAAUCCGGUUCACUUUAACACUGAGGCGUGAUGACGAGGCACUACGGUGCUGAAGCAACAAAUGCCCUGCUUCCAGGAAAAGCCUCUAAGCAUCAGGUAACAUCAAAUCGUACCCCAAACCGACACAGGUGGUCAGGUAGAGAAUACCAAGGCGCUUGAGAGAACUCGGGUGAAGGAACUAGGCAAAAUGGUGCCGUAACUUCGGGAGAAGGCACGCUGACACGUAGGUGAAGUGAUUUACUCAUGGAGCUGAAGUCAGUCGAAGAUACCAGCUGGCUGCAACUGUUUAUUAAAAACACAGCACUGUGCAAACACGAAAGUGGACGUAUACGGUGUGACGCCUGCCCGGUGCCGGAAGGUUAAUUGAUGGGGUCAGCGCAAGCGAAGCUCCUGAUCGAAGCCCCGGUAAACGGCGGCCGUAACUAUAACGGUCCUAAGGUAGCGAAAUUCCUUGUCGGGUAAGUUCCGACCUGCACGAAUGGCGUAAUGAUGGCCAGGCUGUCUCCACCCGAGACUCAGUGAAAUUGAACUCGCUGUGAAGAUGCAGUGUACCCGCGGCAAGACGGAAAGACCCCGUGAACCUUUACUAUAGCUUGACACUGAACAUUGAGCCUUGAUGUGUAGGAUAGGUGGGAGGCUUUGAAGCGUGGACGCCAGUCUGCGUGGAGCCGACCUUGAAAUACCACCCUUUAAUGUUUGAUGUUCUAACGUGGACCCGU
rnacentral:rRNA from 1 species